rnacentral:rRNA from 1 species
GACGAACGCUGGCGGCGUGCCUAAUACAUGCAAGUAGAACGCUGAAGAGAGGAGCUUGCUCUUCUUGGAUGAGUUGCGAACGGGUGAGUAACGCGUAGGUAACCUGCCUUGUAGCGGGGGAUAACUAUUGGAAACGAUAGCUAAUACCGCAUAACAAUGGAUGACACAUGUCAUUUAUUUGAAAGGGGCAAUUGCUCCACUACAAGAUGGACCUGCGUUGUAUUAGCUAGUAGGUGAGGUAAUGGCUCACCUAGGCGACGAUACAUAGCCGACCUGAGAGGGUGAUCGGCCACACUGGGACUGAGACACGGCCAGACUCCUACGGGAGGCAGCAGUAGGGAAUCUUCGGCAAUGGGGGCAACCCUGACCGAGCAACGCCGCGUGAGUGAAGAAGGUUUUCGGAUCGUAAAGCUCUGUUGUAAGUCAAGAACGGGUGUGAGAGUGGAAAGUUCACACUGUGACGGUAGCUGACCAGAAAGGGACGGCUAACUACGUG